AAAAUUUUCACCAAGGUCGCGACUAACCGGCUGAAUGGGGUCGCAGACCAUGUAGUCAAACCAACACAAACAACUUUCAUGCAAGGACGGAACAUCUUAGACGGUGUUGCUGUCCUACAUGAAACUGUUCAUGAGCUCCACCGUAAAAAGUUGAAUGGGGUCAUCUUUAAGAUUGACUUCGAGAAAGCUUAUGAUAAGGUGAAGUGGCCUUUUUUGCUUCAAACUCUUCGUAUGAAAGGGUUUUCCGAUACUUGGUGCCGAUGGGUUGAGAACUUUGUGUCUGGAGGUAGCGUGGCUAUCAAGGUGAACGAUGACGUAGGCAAUUAUUUCCAG
rnacentral:rRNA from 1 species